rnacentral:rRNA from 1 species
GAUCAUGGCUCAGGAUGAACGCUAGCUACAGGCUUAACACAUGCAAGUCGAGGGGCAGCAUGAAGUCUGCUUGCAAACUUGAUGGCGACCGGCGCACGGGUGAGUAACGCGUAUCCAACCUUCCCUAUACUAGAGGAUAGCCCGGCGAAAGUCGGAUUAAUACUCUAUGUUCUUCGUAGAAGACAUCUGAAAUGAAGCAAAGGUUUACCGGUAUAGGAUGGGGGAUGCGUCUGAUUAGGUUGUUGGCGGGUAACGGCCCACCAAGCCCACGAUCAGUAGGGGUUCUGAGAGGAAGGUCCCCCACAUUGGAACUGAGACACGGUCCAAACUCCUACGGGAGGCAGCAGUGAGGAAUAUUGGUCAAUGGACGAGAGUCUGAACCAGCCAAGUAGCGUGCAGGAUGACGGCCCCAUGGGUUGUAAACUGCUUUUAUACAGGGAUAAAGUUCACUACGUGUAGUGUUUUGUAGGUACUGUAUGAAUAAGGACCGGCUAAUUCCGUGCCAGCCGCAGC